rnacentral:rRNA from 1 species
AUUGAACGCUGGCGGCAGGCUUUAACACAUGCAAGUCGAGCGGAGAUGAGGUGCUUGCACCUUAUCUUAGCGGCGGACGGGUGAGUAAUGCUUAGGAAUCUGCCUAUUAGUGGGGGACAACAUUCCGAAAGGAAUGCUAAUACCGCAUACGUCCUACGGGAGAAAGCAGGGGAUCUUCGGACCUUGCGCUAAUAGAUGAGCCUAAGUCGGAUUAGCUAGUUGGUGGGGUAAAGGCCUACCAAGGCGACGAUCUGUAGCGGGUCUGAGAGGAUGAUCCGCCACACUGGGACUGAGACACGGCCCAGACUCCUACGGGAGGCAGCAGUGGGGAAUAUUGGACAAUGGGGGGAACCCUGAUCCAGCCAAGCCGCGUGUGUGAAGAAGGCCUUAUGGUUGUAAAGCACUUUAAGCGAGGAGGAGGCUACUGAGACUAAUACUCUUGGAUAGUGGACGUUACUCGCAGAAUAAGCACCGGCUAACUCUGUG